rnacentral:rRNA from 1 species
CUUAUGCGUUGUUGGGUAGGGGAGCGUUCUGUAAGCCUGCGAAGGUGGCCUGUGAGGGUUGCUGGAGGUAUCAGAAGUGCGAAUGCUGACAUAAGUAACGAUAAAGCGGGUGAAAAGCCCGCUCGCCGGAAGACCAAGGGUUCCUGUCCAACGUUAAUCGGGGCAGGGUGAGUCGACCCCUAAGGCGAGGCCGAAAGGCGUAGUCGAUGGGAAACGGGUUAAUAUUCCCGUACUUGGUGUUACUGCGAAGGGGGGACGGAGAAGGCUAUGUUGGCCGGGCGACGGUUGUCCCGGUUUAAGCGUGUAGGUGUGUGUUCCAGGUAAAUCCGGUUCACUUUAACACUGAGGCGUGACGACGAGGCACUACGGUGCUGAAGCAACAAAUGCCCUGCUUCCAGGAAAAGCCUCUAAGCAUCAGGUAACAUCAAAUCGUACCCCAAACCGACACAGGUGGUCAGGUAGAGAAUACCAAGGCGCUUGAGAGAACUCGGGUGAAGGAACUAGGCAAAAUGGUGCCGUAACUUCGGGAGAAGGCACGCUGACACGUAGGUGAAGUGAUUUACUCAUGGAGCUGAAGUCAGUCGAAGAUACCAGCUGGCUGCAACUGUUUAUUAAAAACACAGCACUGUGCAAACACGAAAGUGGACGUAUACGGUGUGACGCCUGCCCGGUGCCGGAAGGUUAAUUGAUGGGGUCAGCGCAAGCGAAGCUCCUGAUCGAAGCCCCGGUAAACGGCGGCCGUAACUAUAACGGUCCUAAGGUAGCGAAAUUCCUUGUCGGGUAAGUUCCGACCUGCACGAAUGGCGUAAUGAUGGCCAGGCUGUCUCCACCCGAGACUCAGUGAAAUUGAACUCGCUGUGAAGAUGCAGUGUACCCGCGGCAAGACGGAAAGACCCCGUGAACCUUUACUAUAGCUUGACACUGAACAUUGAGCCUUGAUGUGUAGGAUAGGUGGGAGGCUUUGAAGUGUGGACGCCAGUCUGCAUGGAGCCGACCUUGAAAUACCACCCUUUAAUGUUUGAUGUUCUAACGUGGACCCGUUACCCGGGUUGCGGACAGUGUCUGGUGGGUAGUUUGACUGGGGCGGUCUCCUCCUAAAGAGUAACGGAGGAGCACGAAGGUUGGCUAAUCCUGGUCGGACAUCAGGAGGUUAGUGCAAUGGCAUAAGCCAGCUUGACUGCGAGCGUGACGGCGCGAGCAGGUGCGAAAGCAGGUCAUAGUGAUCCGGUGGUUCUGAAUGGAAGGGCCAUCGCUCAACGGAUAAAAGGUACUCCGGGGAUAACAGGCUGAUACCGCCCAAGAGUUCAUAUCGACGGCGGUGUUUGGCACCUCGAUGUCGGCUCAUCACAUCCUGGGGCUGAAGUAGGUCCCAAGGGUAUGGCUGUUCGCCAUUUAAAGUGGUACGCGAGCUGGGUUUAGAACGUCGUGAGACAGUUCGGUCCCUAUCUGCCGUGGGCGCUGGAGAACUGAGGGGGGCUGCUCCUAGUACGAGAGGACCGGAGUGGACGCAUCACUGGUGUUCGGGUUGUCAUGCCAAUGGCACUGCCCGGUAGCUAAAUGCGGAAGAGAUAAGUGCUGAAAGCAUCUAAGCACGAAACUUGCCCCGAGAUGAGUUCUCCCUGAGACUUAAAGUCUCCUGAAG